rnacentral:rRNA from 1 species
GACGAACCGUGCGAACGUUAUUCGGAAUCACUGGGCUUAAAGCGCGUGUAGGCGGGCCGGCACGUCGAGAGCUGAAAGCCCCCCGGCUCAACCGGGGAAGGGGCCUCGAUACGACCGGCCUGGAGGGGCGUAGGGGGAUCGGGAACUUCCGGUGGAGCGGUGAAAUGCGUUGAGAUCGGAAGGAACGCCCGUGGCGAAAGCGCGGUCCUGGACGCCUGCUGACGCUGAGACGCGAAAGCGUGGGGAGCAAACAGG